rnacentral:tRNA from 1 species
GCAGCGGUAGUUCAGUUGGUUAGAAUACCGGCCUGUCACGCCGGGGGUCGCGGGUUCGAGCCCCGUCCGCCUGCGCCA